GAUGAACGCUGGCGGCGUGCCUAAUACAUGCAAGUCGAGCGAACAGACGAGGAGCUUGCUCCUCUGACGUUAGCGGCGGACGGGUGAGUAACACGUGGAUAACCUACCUAUAAGACUGGGAUAACUUCGGGAAACCGGAGCUAAUACCGGAUAAUAUAUUGAACCGCAUGGUUCAAUAGUGAAAGACGGUUUUGCUGUCACUUGUAGAUGGAUCCGCGCCGCAUUAGCUAGUUGGUAAGGUAACGGCUUACCAAGGCGACGAUGCGUAGCCGACCUGAGAGGGUGAUCGGCCACACUGGAACUGAGACACGGUCCAGACUCCUACGGGAGGCAGCAGUAGGGAAUCUUCCGCAAUGGGCGAAAGCCUGACGGAGCAACGCCGCGUGAGUGAUGAAGGUCUUCGGAUCGUAAAACUCUGUUAUUAGGGAAGAACAAAUGUGUAAGUAACUAUGCACGUCUGGACGGUACCUAAUCAGAAAGCCACGGCUAACUACGU
rnacentral:rRNA from 1 species